rnacentral:rRNA from 1 species
UACGGAGGGAGCUAGCGUUGUUCGGAAUUACUGGGCGUAAAGGGCGCGUAGGCGGCCAUCUAAGUCAGACGUGAAAUCCCCGGGCUCAACCCGGGAACUGCGUCUGAUACUGGAUGGCUUGAAUCCGGGAGAGGGAUGUGGAAUUCCAGGUGUAGCGGUGAAAUGCGUAGAUAUCUGGAGGAACACCGGUGGCGAAGGCGGCAUCCUGGACCGGUAUUGACGCUGAGGCGCGAAAGCCAGGGGAGCAAACGGG